rnacentral:rRNA from 1 species
UACGUAGGGUGCGAGCGUUGUCCGGAAUUACUGGGCGUAAAGAGCUCGUAGGUGGUUUGUCGCGUCUGCUGUGAAAACCUAAGGCUCAACCUUGGGCUUGCAGUGGGUACGGGCAGACUAGAGUGCGGUAGGGGGUGACUGGAAUUCCUGGUGUAGCGGUGGAAUGCGUAGAGAUCCGGGAAGAACACCGGUGGCGAAGGCGGUCUGCUGGGCAGU